GCAGUUCGAAAGGAACCCGAAGGCUCUGGAGCGCAGCGGGAACUCCCGCUGCGCUCCUGAGGCUUUGGGUUACCUUCACUGAAGGC